CCGCUGUACCCUCCUUGUCUCCGGUAAUUUGUAACACAGUGACAGCACUCAUUUGAGGCAGAAAGGAGUGGGACUUGGAGGUCUAGGGCACUUGAGGUCGUGGUAUCUCUAGGAGGAUUUGAAAUGAACCUGUAGCUCUAUUGCUUCAUAACACCUUUUAGGUGUUAUUAGUCCUCCUGAUGGGUUCUGUAGACAGCAGAAGUGUGCAGGGAGAGUCUUCAAGGCAUUCUGCUGUAUCUUUGAAACAGGAAGAGCACAGUCAGACACAGCAUUUGUAAAAGGAGCCCAGACAAAUGAACGGGAGGCAUUCUGAUCCCAGAAGUUCUAACCGACAAAAGAGGUUCACUGGACAGCAUGCUCUACAAACAGGUGACAUGAAACUUUAUGAUCACAGGAGGAUUUGCACUUUAAGAGGGCAGGAGGAGGAGGAGAAGACAAGAACUGAAGUUAUUUGCUUGAGGUGGCUUUUGCAAGGUCUGGAACCACUGAACUACAAUACCACCUUCCUAGGAGUUUCUCUGGGUUUCUGAUGAAGAUUGAUGAAAUAUUCAUUAUUUCAUUCUUUAAAUCAAAAUUAAUACAUUCUUGAUAAUCUUU